GACGAACCGAGCGAACGUUAUUCGGAAUCACUGGGCUUAAAGGGCGCGUAGGCGGGUCAUCAAGUCAGGGGUGAAAUACUUCGGCUUAACCGGAGAAGUGCUUUUGAUACUGGUGACCUCGAGGGGUGUAGGGGCAUGUGGAACUUCCGGUGGAGCGGUGAAAUGCGUAGAUAUCGGAAGGAACGCCGGUGGCGAAAGCGACGUGCUGGACACCUUCUGACGCUGAGGCGCGAAAGCCAGGGGGAGCAAACGGG
rnacentral:rRNA from 1 species